GGGUGGUUUUGGGUUUGGUUUGAGGAUUCGGAGCUCGUGGUGCUGAGUGCCGCCGUUGGGUUGGGGCCAGCGCUGCAUGAUGCGUCUGUGUAGAGUCGUGGGGUUGUUGGAGGUGGGAAUGAAGGCCGAGGUCGUGAGUCUGACCCCCAAAUCAUCCCCACCAUAGAGCCACUAAGAUGGGAAAUGACCACGGAGGUCAUCCUACCCCCAUCCCAUCCCCAUUACAGAGACUUAAGGCUGGAAGGGACCACUGUGGUCAUCCAACCCCAUCUUGUCCCCACCAUGGAACCAUUUAAGGUAGGAAAUGGCCACAGAGGUCAUCGCUCCAACCCUCGGCUCUCUUUCCUUUUGGGUUCUGUUCCGGCGUUGUUGGGUUGGGUUUUUGGGGGCAGUUUUGGGUUUGGUUUGAGGAUUCGGAGCUCGUGGUGCUGAGUGCCGCCGUUGGGUUGGGGCCAGCGCUGCAUGAUGCGUCUGUGUAGAGUCGUGGGGUCGUUGGAGGUGGGAAUGACCUCAUCCAGCCCCCAAAUCAUCCCCACCAUAGAGCCACUAAGAUGGGAAAUGACCACGGAGGUCAUCCUACCCCCAUCCCAUCCCCAUUAUAGAGCCUUAAGACUGGAAGGGACCACUGUGGUCAUCCAACUUCCAUCGCAUCCCCACCAUAGAGCCACUAAGGUGGGAAAUGGCCACAGAGGUCAUCGCUCCAACCCUCGGCUCUCUUUCCUUUUGGGUUCUGUUCCGGCGUUGUUGGGUUGGGUUUUUGGGGUUGGUUUUGGGUUUGGUUUGAGGAUUCGGAGCUCGUGGUGCUGAGUGCCGCCGUUGGGUUGGGGCCAGCGCUGCAUGAUGCGUCUGUGUAGAGUCGUGGGGUCGUUGGAGGUGGGAAUGAAGGCCGAGGUCGUGAGUCUGACCCCCAAAUCAUCCCCACCAUAGAGCCACUAAGAUGGGAGAUGACAGAGGUCAUCCUACCCCCAUCCCAUCUCCAUUACAGAGCCAUUAAGACUGGAAGGGACCACUGUGGUCAUCCAAAUUCCAUCGCAUCCCCACCAUAGAGCCACUAAGGCUGGAAGGGACCACUGUGGUCAUCCAACCCCAACUCAUUUGCACCACAGACCCAUCAAAACUGGAAAGGCCACUGUAGGGUCACCCCGUUGCCCUCAGCCCAUCAAUCCCACUCCAGGUCCUUCCAUAGGGUCGCACCAUUGGCCUCAACCCAUUCACCCCUGUCCAGAUCCCUCUGCAGGGUCACAACCUAUCAAUCUCUCUCCAGAUCUCUCUGUAGGAGCUCAUCAGUUCCUCUCCAGAUCCCUCCGUAGGAUCUCAGCCCGUUGAUCUCUCUCCAGAUCCCUCUGUAAGGCCACACCGUUGGCCUCAGCCCACUCAUCCCUUUCCAGAUCUCUCUAUAGGGUCGCACCACUGGUCUCAACCUCUCCAGAUCCCUCUGUAGGGUCUCAGCCCAUCUUUCCCACCUCUCCAGAUCACCUCUUCUUUUUAAUUUACUUUUCCACUCCUCUGCAUGCAGCAGUUUGCUUCUGAGGUGCGUUUGCUUCGUUUCGCCUUCCCUUGGAGGAGGUUGGAGUGCAUUCUGCACCAAAAAAAAUGCCUUUUAUUUUGAGAGGAAAUCUGCUCUUUUCGGAGCUUCAGAAGGAGCCGAGGGCACAGCUAUCAUCGUCCCCCAAUAUUCUCCCAUUCCUGAUCCCCC